rnacentral:rRNA from 1 species
ACGGAAGGCAGCAGUCGGGAAUAUUGCGCAAUGGAGGAAACUCUGACGCAGUGACGCCGCGUGCAGGAAGAAGGUUUUCGAAUUGUAAACUGCUUUAGACCGGGAAGAAAAGGACAGUACCUGUAGAAUAAGCUCCGGCUAACUACGUGCCAGCAGCCGCGGUAAUACGUAGGGAGCGAGCGUUAUCCGGAUUUAUUGGGUGUAAAGAGUGCGUAGACGGAAUAGCAAGUUAGUUGUGAAAUCCCUUGGCUCAACUGAGGAACUGCAACUAAAACUACUACCCUUGAGUGCUGGAGGGGAAAGUGGAGUUCCUAGUGUAGCAGUGAAAUGCGUAGAUAUUAGGAGGAACACCGGUGGCGAAGGCGACUUUCUGGACAGUAACUGACGUUGAGGCACGAAAGUGUGGGGAGCAAACAGGAUUAGAUACCCUGGUA